rnacentral:lncRNA from 1 species
AUUGCCACAUUCAGAACCAAAGCAAAAAACCAUGACCGAAGUUCCAGUUUUAGAGCAACUUAUGUUAACAGACUAAACAACCAUAACAGGAUUGCCUUGUCAACGUUAAGCGAAUCAGUCGACUUAAAACAACAGUAGUGUGACAUCUUCAAAAAUCCAUACCAUCUCAAUACUCAAACACGUAUCACUGAUGAGAGUAGAUGCAGUCAAUUAGAAAU